rnacentral:rRNA from 1 species
GACGAACGCUGGCGGCGUGCUUAACACAUGCAAGUCGAGCGGAAAGGCCCUUUCGGGGGUACUCGAGCGGCGAACGGGUGAGUAACACGUGAGUAAUCUGCCCUUGGCUUUGGGAUAACCACCGGAAACGGUGGCCAAUACCGGAUACGACCAAUCCCGGCAUCGGGUGGUGGUGGAAAGUUUUUUCGGCCAGGGAUGUGCUCGCGGCCUAUCAGCUUGUUGGUGGGGUAAUGGCCUACCAAGGCUUCGACGGGUAGCCGGCCUGAGAGGGUGCCCGGCCACACUGGGACAGAGACACGGCCCAGACUCCUACGGGAGGCAGCAGUGGGGAAUAUUGGACAAUGGGCGGAAGCCUGAUCCAGCAACGCCGCGUGAGGGAUGACGGCCUUCGGGUUGUAAACCUCUUUCAGUACCGACGAAGCGCCGAUGAUGGUGGUGACGGUAGGUACAGAAGAAGCACCGGCCAACUACGUGCCAGCCGCCGCUGUAACAC